UUUACACGGUGCGGUGGAUGUGGCUGCUGUGUCCCAUCUGUGUCAUUAGGUGGCAGAGAGAAGAGGCUAUGUUUAUUAGUGUUCUGCCCCAUGAACGUUUGAAUGUUUAAUAGUCUGACACU
ensembl:snoRNA